GGUAAACACGAUGAAAUGGUGGGAGCUGUCAUCAGAAUUUCAGAAAGACCCGGCCUCUCUCUGAAGACACAAGGACAAACCCAUAUCCGCAUUCGCAUGUGGCUCCUGCCAGUUCAGCGCUCCCUCCCCAGAAAGCUGAUCUGUCGGAGUUUUUGUUCCAGGUUGUGGCUGUUGCAAAUCCAUUACAUCAGAUAAAAGAAGGGACGGAAAUCUGAUGCUGCCUCAGAUCCCGUUGGGGUUGUCAAAGAAGAGCGGAUGAAAAAUAGAGGAUUACUCCACUCUCGCCUUAUUAAGUCACUGCAGAUGGAGAGACCGUUGCAGCCAUAUGUCCCAGCCUCAGUCCCCCCUUUUUUUAAGUUUCCUAAUCUGAUGAAAUACGGUUAGGGGACAAAUCCUCAAAAACGAUGCCUUGCUCAGACUCGCACACUCAUAAGAAAAUAAAUAAAGCGAUAUUGCCCCAUGUUUAUGGUAAGUUUUAUACUUACAGCCCAGCAUUAAAAGGAAGGAAUGAUUCUCCCCUUUUUUAAAAUGGCUGAUGUACCCCAAAGCUUAUAUUCUUUUAAAGUGGUUUUAAUUUCCCUUUUUCAUACAUAUGAGUGACCUUACCACAAUUUAUGAGUAAAAGUAAUUUGCACAUCCUGCAAAUGAUGGAAAACUCAAAGUAUUGAUGAGAGUUUUGCCCUGUUAGUUUAUUUUCCUAAACUAGUCUCACAUUUUCUACAUUACUACUUUCAAAGCAAACAUUUCACCAAGUAGUCUGAUUGCCACAUUUUCUUUAAUAUGGGAGACACUGGAUUAUAGAUCAUCAGUGAAUGGUCUAUCUACAAAUUGGAAGCCACAAGUUACAUUUUCUUUGAUUUACCAUGGCAGCAAACUAUUAAAUGAGUAUGAGUUCUUGAUAACAAGAUUCAAUAAAAAUAACCUAACGAGGAUUUUGAUCUCAAGGUAUAAAAGCGCGAUUUGAUUCUGUUUAAAUAAAAUAAUAUUAAUAAUAAAUGUUUGCCAACUAAAUAUUAAUAACAUAAAUUUGAUUUGGAAUUGUUAUGCCAGAAUUAUUUGGUUUUUUUUGUAUUAAAUUGUUCAAUUUAGUUCUCUUUGUUUACUUACUGUAUUUUUUUUUUUUUGACAGAGGUGUGUUACCAUCUUGAAUAAGCCCAGAAGGGUCUCUGUAACACACCAUCACAUGAUUUUACUUUUUUUUUUCAAUUAUGCUUGUAUUUUUUGUCCUUUUUAUGUGUGUUAAUAAAUCAAAUCAAAUCAACAAAAGACUUGGAGAUAAAUUAAUCCGUCAAGCUUUUCUGCAAUCACAGCACCUCUAGAACUUAGGUGCAACAUGUUAGCUACGUUAGAAGCAUUUGCGUAUUCACAAUACCUUUAAUUCCAAACUUUGUAUGCUACACAUAAAAAAAAAAAAAAAAAAAAA